CAAGAAGGCAGGGAUUUCAGCCUGGGCAACAAGUCCAUAGAAUAUCAGAUUUCUGAAGGUGUGUGGGAUACAUCAUGGUUACAUAAAAAUCCUUUCACUAUAGUUCCUACUUCUCUGUCUUCAAAGUGAUUCCCUGAAGACUUCCGCCAUGAAAGUCUAAAGCCUGACCUCUGAACUGUGGAUGGAAAAUUGAACUCCUUGAUGUGAUCUCUGCACAUCAUGCAACCCUAAACCUAAAUAUUCUCUGUGUGGGAGCCCCCUUAUGUUCCUUUUUAGUCUAAUGCAUUUUAAGUGGUCUUAA